CUAAGAAAUGAUAAAAUAUGAUUAGAAGAAUUGUAUAAAACACAAGACAAACAGAACAAUUUGUGAGAUUCAUGGUUACCGUGGUGAAAAGAGCAUUCUAUUAUUUUAAACAGUUUAUUGGGUUUAUAUAUAAAUAUAGCAUUCAUGCAAAUACACAAACUGAUAUCAUAACCAUUUCUCUUGUAAAAUAUAUAUGUAUGUAUAUAUAUAUAUAUUAGUUCGAAGAACCUUCUGUACAAAUGUACCCCUUAUAUGAGAGUUAAAAAUUAAGUCAAUUAUACCAAAGUUUUCCUUUUCCUCAGUCCUUUUCAAGUCUUCCACGCAUGUGAUGAUGGUACCUGUCUCAGGAACAAAAUCUGUCUACAGUACUUAGGGGAUGGUGGGGGCUAUGGGACUAAUUAUUUACCAGUUGGAAUAAAAAAAAAGCAUUCACAAUUUUCCAUCGUUUGAACCAGCACUCCGGCUCUGUACGGUGCACGGUGAUGGGAGUUACAUGUGUUGCAGUCAUGCAGUCCCAAUGUCCUGGCUGGCUACAUUCUUACCAGUUAUAAAAUGUGAAAUGCGUUGGUCUUAGGUCCUUAUUUAAACCAUCCACUCAAGCCAGACAUUAUCUUCUCGCUGUUACACCACAGUGCUAACAGAGGGGUCGGACAGAUUUAGCUGGCCAGUGAUAUCAGUUGGGUGAUAUUGCUGUAAAAUACAAAUACACAGAGAGGAAGCAUGAGGAUAUACUGUGGCCAACGCGUUCGAAUGAGGUUUCAGCUUCUGUUCAGGAGUCUGCAGAGUUUAAUGUCUGUAAAAUGACAAUAAGUUGGGCCAGUUAUAGAUGCAGACGGGUAACUGCCAGGUUUUUAUGUUUUAGUUUUUUACAUUGAGACCAAUAUACAGUAAAGACACACAGUUUACUCCGCUGUCUCCCGGUAUGAUUAAUGUGUAAAUGUGUAAAUGUAGAUUAAAUUUGAUGUUUGUAAAGUUACAAAAUGUGCUGAUGGUGUGUGUCAUAUAAUCAGUAUUGUAACUGUAGCGAAAAUGUUAUUCUGUUUCACUGGAAAUUUUGGGGUCCCUAAUAUAUUUCCUGCUAACCUAAAACGAGAGCUGGAACCCGAGACUUCUAUACAAUUUACUUUUUAUAUUUAUACGUUAUUUUACAUUAUGCUAUUAUAUUUUACUAUCAAAUCUAUCUAUCUAUCUAUCUAUCUAUCUCUAUCAAUCCUUACAUCUACCCAUCCAUCUUUAAGAGAUCUUCAUGGAGAUUAUAUCAGAGAUUUUGUACCAGUCAAUUAUAAACACCAAUUUCAACAGUUCUGACAGUCUGUGUGCUUUCUAUACAGUCCUAUUAAUGAGCGCUAGAGGUCUAUGUGUACUGAGCCGGUCACACUAUGCUGGGAUAGUCUGUGUGCUUUCUAUACAGUCCUAUUAAUGAGCGCUAGAGGUCUAUGUGUACUGAGCCGGUCACACUAUGCUGGGAUAGUCUGUGCUUUCUAUACAGUCCUAUUAAUGAGUGCUAGAGGUCUAUGUGUACUGAGCCGGUCACACUAUGCUGGGAUAGUCUGUGCUUUCUAUACAGUCCUAUUAAUGAGCGCUAGAGGUCUAUGUGUACUGAGCCGGUCACACUAUGCUGGGAUAGUCUGUGUGCUUUCUAUACAGUGCUAUUAAUGAGUGCUAGAGGUCUAUGUGUACUGAGCCAGUCACACUAUGCUGGGAUAGUCUGUGUGCUUUCUAUACAGUCCUAUUAAUGAGCGCUAGAGGUCUAUGUGUACUGAGCCGGUCACACUAUACUGGGAUAGUCUGUGCUUUCUAUACAGUCCUAUUAAUGAGAGCUAGAGGUCUAUGUGUACUGAGCCGGUCACACUAUGCUGGGAUAGUCUGUGUGCUCUCUAUACAGUCCUAUUAAUGAGCGCUAGAGGUCUAUGUGUACUGAGCCGGUCACACUAUGCUGGGAUAGUCUGUGUGCUUUCUAUACAGUCCUAUUAAUCAGAGCUAGAGGUCUGUGUGUACUGAGAUGGUCACACUAUGCUGGGAUAGUCUGUGUGCUUUCUAUACAGUCCUAUUAAUGGUCUAUGUGUACUGAGCCGGUUACACUAUACUGGGAUAGACUGUGUGCUUUCUAUACAGUCCUAUUAAUGAGAGCUAGAGGUCUAUGUGUACUGAGCCGGUCACACUAUGCUGGGAUAGUCUGUGCUUUCUAUACAGUCCUAUUAAUGAGCGCUAGAGGUCUAUGUGUACUGAGCUGGUCACACU